rnacentral:rRNA from 1 species
UACCUGCAGCUCGAGUGGUGAUCGUUAUUAUUGGGCCUAAAACGUCCGUAGCCGGUCUGGUAAAUGCCUGGGUAAAUCGUAUGGCCUAACUAUACGAAUUCCGGGUAGACUGUUAGACUUGAGACCGGGAGAAGCUAGAGGUACUCCUGGGGUAGAGGUGAAAUUCUGUAAUCCUAGGGGGACCACCAGUGGCGAAGGCGUCUAGCUAGAACGGGUUUGACGGUGAGGGACGAAGCCCUGGGGCGCAAACGGGAUUAGAUACCCCGGUAGUCCAGGGUGUAAACGCUGCUUGCUUGAUGUUAGUCUGGCUCCGAGCCAGAUUAGUGUCGGAGAGAAGUUGUUAAGCAAGCUGCCUGGGAAGUACGGCCGCAAGACUGAAACUUAAAGGAAUUGGCGGGGGAGCACAGCAACGGGUGGAGCGUGCGGUUU